rnacentral:rRNA from 1 species
CGUAGGGACCAAGCGUUGUUCGGAUUUACUGGGCGUAAAGGGCGCGUAGGCGGCAAUUCAAGUCAGCUGUGAAAUCUCCGGGCUUAACUCGGAACGGUCAGCUGAUACUGCUUUGCUAGAGUGCAGAAGGGGCAAUCGGAAUUCUUGGUGUAGCGGUGAAAUGCGUAGAUAUCAAGAGGAACACCUGAGGUGAAGACGGGUUGCUGGGCUGACACUGACGCUGAGUGCGCGAAAGCUAGGGUAGCAAACGGGAUUAGAUACCCCGGUAGUCCUAGCCCUAAACGAUGAAUACUUGGUGUCUGGAGUUUUUAUCCUCCGGGUGCCGUCGCUAACGUUUUAAGUAUUCCGCCUGGGGAGUACGCACGCAAGUGUG